UACGUAGGGGGCAAGCGUUGUCCGGAUUUAUUGGGCGUAAAGCGCGUGUAGGUGGCCAUGUAGGUCCGCUGUGAAAGUCGGGGGCUCAACCCUCGAAAGCCGGUGGAUACUGUCGGGCUAGAGUGCGGAAGAGGCGAGUGGAAUUCCACGUGUAGCGGUGAAAUGCGUAGAGAUGUGGAGGAACACCAGUGGCGAAGGCGGCUCUCUGGUCUGUAACUGACGCUGAGGCGCGAAAGCGUGGGGAGCAAACAGG
rnacentral:rRNA from 1 species